GUAUGACUACAUGUUACUGACUGUAUGACUACAUGUUACUGUUGAAGUUAACUACAAACCUUCCUUCAGUGACGACAAACAGAUCAACAGAGAGACGUUUCCGACCGCUGUUUAUCCUCUGAUGGAACAGAAUCAACAGCUGAUCGAUGUCAACUUCAGCCUGGAACCUUCGGCCACAAAACUUGUGUGCGUGAGGAAGAGGAGUAAAGAUUAUCCUCCGCCUCUCUAGACUCCGAGCGCUUCGAAGGUUGUGAUGCUGUCGAGAGGAAUGAAUCCUCGAGGAGCGACCGCUCGAUGGGAAACAUGCUGAACUGCAGCCGGACGAAGCUGCUCGUUGAACAACUUCAUGAGUGUCCUGUUUCAUUUGUAUUUAGUGUCAGAGAUGACGCUGAGAGCGGAGCGAAGCCGGAAAGACGAUUACGAGCUAAACACUCAUAGAACUGGAGUUACAUCCAGAUAACCUUUAGUACAGCGUAAAGCCCGUCUGUGUAGAAGUUGAAUGUGAUUAUAUCAUCUAUUAAAUAUGUUUUUAUUUUAAAAACAGUCGCGCAAAUAAAACACAUCGGAGCUUUUAAAAACACUCAUAAUCCAGUAUUUCUAACAACUAUGUCUUCUAGAAAUCACGUUCAUGUUCAACUUUUUAAGGAGCCAUAAUGCUGACUUUACGUUUUAUAUCAACAUAAUAACAAUAUGUUGAUUUGUUUUAAAUUAUCUUUAAAAUCACGACCGAGAAGUUCUCCGUUACUUUUAUACAGAAUGUGCCCACAA